GCUGGGGCGUGGUGGCAUGUGCUUGUAGUCCCAGUUACUCAGGAGGCUGAGGUCGGAGGAUCACUUGAGCCCAAGAGUUCUGGGCUAUAGUGUGCUAUGCCAAUCAGGUGUCCGCACUAAGUUCAGCAUCAGUAUGAUGACCUCCCAGGGGUGGGGGACCACCAGGUUGCCUAAGGAGGGGUGAUCCAACCCAAGUCAGAAACAGACCAGGUCGAAACUCUCAUGCUGAUCAGUAGUGGGAUUGCACCUGUGAAUAGCCAUUGCACUCUAGCCUGGGCCACAUAGCGAGACCCUGUCUCUA
ensembl:misc_RNA Metazoa_SRP Metazoan signal recognition particle RNA